rnacentral:tRNA from 3 species
GCAGGUGUAGUUUAAUGGCAGAACUUCAGCUUCCCAAGCUGACCGCGUGGGUUCGAUUCCCAUCACCUGCUCCA